AACACCAAAGGCAGAGUUGGCUUUACCUAAAGAGUACAGAUGUACCCAUUGACUUUUGAGGUAUACUACAAUACAGGAAGAGGGACUGCAUGCUUCUGAAGUUAGUGAAGGUGGCAGCCUCUGGAUGGUGGCCAAAGGAAGAUGGGAGGAAGAGGCAACUAAUGUUUUAAUGACAGCAUUGCAUCGAUGCAGUUGGUGUUAUCUCCAUUUAACCAAUGAAGAAAUCAAUGUGAACUGUUGGUAAGGCCAGGUCUGGCCUGAUGUGGAUUUUUGGCAAGAGAAAUUAUAUUUGCAGCUGGCUCCGUUUUGUGAAGGGUGAGUUUCUCUGGUCCUUUUCUGUUUAGUGGUACCACUUCAUGGCAACAAUUACCAGGAACCUUUCCUGCUUUUUAUGAAAGGCUGCCAGGAUGUCUUGGGCCUCAUGGUUUCAAACUGUGUUUCUGAGCAGAAUUCAGCAUCACUGGUAGAUAUUUUGAGACAAAGGUGAUAACAAUAUAUUUCUCAGGUACAUUUGAAGGAUCCCAUAAAAAAUAGGCUUUGGGACCAUGGUCCACUGUCAUGUUUGCUUGGCGUUUUCACUUGAUCAUGACAAAAUUAAAUUCUUAUUAGUGAUAUUAUUCCUUCCCUCGUCCUGAGCCAUGAACUGACUGUAUGUUCUCUGAAGCUACAGGGGCAUUUUUUCACUUUCUUUCAAGCAUCUUUCUUGGUAAGUCUCUUAUGUGGCCUGAUCUUUUAUCCAUUUGAUCUUCUAUCCAUUCAUUUAUCACUGUAUCUGGUCCCUAGCAGUUAAAAUAGAGAUUGGGCAAUAUGCAUAUUUUAUUAGAAUUUUGUUUCUCAUUUUGAAGUGUGCCUGUCAUAAGUUUAUCUGUAGCAAAUUAAGAGAUUUCUAUUUUUGCCAUGUAGUUUCUAAAAACUUCAGUUGGAAGAGCCUCACUUUUUUUUCCAAGUGAAGUACAAAUGGCUCCAAGCUAAUUGCCAAUACACUUGUUUCAUCUAGUUUUAAGACCAUUUGACAGAUACUUGAGGAGUUUGAGUACCACACAUUCAAAGUGACUGAUCCAUUUUGGUGAUUGGAUGUGCGGAAGUGCAGAUGUCACAGCAACGAUGAACAUAUUAUUUAACAUUAUAUAGAUGUGCCAUAAACACUAUGAGUACUGUCUAGGGGGGUACAUUUAUCUUAGUAUGUGUUUGAUUAGAUACUGGGUAGAGCAAGGUGGUUAAAUUUAGAGUUCUGACGUGAACUGUCUUACUAAAAUUAGUAAUACUAGAUUGUGUACUCACUAAAAGAACAGGUAACAUUUCUAAAGCAUAACAAAUAAAUGAAUGUUAUGUCUCACUGAAUAAAAAGUACAUAACCGUGGCCCAGAACUAAAAUAAAAACUGAAUGCCUAUCUGUUCAUCUGUUCUGAAUCAUGAGACACUCUGGAAUGUCAACUGAAAUGUUAACUAUUCUCUCCAUAUACAGUAUUUCCGCACCCUGCCCCCAAACCUGGAGUUUGUAAAAAAGCCUAGGCUAAACAAAACCCAAACCCCAAACAAACACAGUUUUGAGAAGAUCUCUGGAAGACAGAUUUAACAUUGUAUAUAAUUCCUGUGGAUUUUAAGAGGGAGACCUGAGUUUUUCUUCUUUUUUUUUGGAAUGGAAGUUGUCUUCAAGUUACAUGUUAGCAGGAAAGACCUUGUUUUGGCAAGAUGCCUUCAAUCAUUUUGUGCAUUUUCACAUUUAAUGUAGAUCAUGGCCUAGUACUGUCUGGGAAAUACUGUAGAUCUGUUUUUUACCUUUCUAUAAUUGAAUUAAAGACCAAUCCCUUACUUAUCCUGUACCAACUGCUGCUCAGUGGCUGGCAGCAGUAUCGGUGGCAUUUGACAGGAAAAUAAGCCAGUGUUUUCUGUUUCUUUUUUCUUUCUAGUCCUCCCUCCAUGUUUCUUAAUAAAGAUACCUGCUCAGUUUUGUCAUA